rnacentral:lncRNA from 1 species
AAUUAUGUGGAUUAAUAAUUUUAGUGUACUUUUACUAUACUUUCGGAAGUAUAAAAAGUUCGUACUUCCAACUUUUUGACAUUUAGAUCAAGAAUUAUGCGGUUGGAAUGAUAGUUGUACUCCCAAGGGUUAAGUGAUCCUCUAAGGUUGAGUGGUUCCUACAGAGUAAUAAUAUUAAUCCAAAAAUUACAAAUAGUCAAAGGUAUUGAUCCAAGGGCCAAAAUAUCAGAAGCAAAAUACCUUUAUACUUUCAAAGACAUAAUAGCUCUAUUCAUAUUUUUAAAUAUUUUUUAUUUUAGUAAUGAACAAUUAAAAAUUAAAGAAUGAAAUUAAAGUAUAUUUCUUUCUUAAAUAUAUAAACCAAAUAACUAAAAUAAAUAAACUAGUUUGAAAUAAAAGAAAAGCUCAUUAUAAUAUUGAAAAAGAUGAGUAAUAUUUUUCUAUUAUCAUCAGCAUAAAAUUUAUAAAUAAAAAUAUUAAAAAAAUAAUUUGAGUGAAAGCACUAUCUUUGUAGCCUUGGCAAUAACAUUCUUAUUGUCGUCGCUGACGAUAAAGAGAAGCUCUUGUUAAGUUUUAUCGCUACAGAUACAACUAAUAAAAUACUUGAUUCCUAAGUUUUAGGUUAGUGAAAGAAU